rnacentral:rRNA from 1 species
UACGUAGGUGGCAAGCGUUGUCCGGAUUUACUGGGCGUAAAGAGCGCGCAGGCGGUCGUUCAAGUCGCGUGUGAAAGCCCCCGGCUCAACUGGGGAGGGUCACGCGAUACUGAUCGACUCGAAGGCAGGGAGAGGGUAGUUGGAAUUCCCGGUGUAGUGGUGAAAUGCGUAGAUAUCGGGAGGAACACCAGUGGCGAAGGCGACUACCUGGCCUGUUCUUGACGCUGAGGCGCGGAAAGCUAAGGGGAGCAAACGGGGAUUAAGAUGAUCCCCAGUAGUACCCCAGACCA